CACCAUACCUUGCUUCUGUGGUACUGGGU
rnacentral:piRNA from 1 species